GAAAGCAGUUGGUGUAGUUAACUGAAACUGCAGAAGAGAAAACUGUGAAUAAAAGGGAACAACUGUACCCUUACAACCACCACUGUAAUCAAGAUGUAUAACAGCUUCAUCAGUUCAACACUGAAACUGGACAUUGUAGAAGAUGAAUUAUGAGAGUGAUUUAUGAAAGAAAGACAAUGGAGAAUUGCAAUCGAUGGAGACAUUCAAAGAAAAGACUUUGGCACUACAUCAAAAGAGAGUAGAAUAAGUAGUCUUUGCUUAUACAUUUUAAAUGAAAAUAAAUGUUUAUCAUACAUA